CCUCCUCUUCCCUCGCCCCUCUCUCUUGGAGAACCUGCUCGGAGUUCCUGAUGACACGGUCGACAGCGGCAGCGCCGCCAUCUCCACCUCGGGCAUGCCCUGCUGAGAUCCUCGACGGAGAAGUUCUUCCUCCACAGCCUGAUGUUGCUCCGUCCCUUCCCUCGCCAACUGCAGCCAGCGUUUCGUCUCCGUCAACUUCGGGGAGGCCUGCAUCUUCGCUGCGCCCUUUCCUCUCCCCCAAGAACAAAGUGCAUCUCGAGGCUACAAGUGGAAGAACCAACAUCUCUCCAAGGAAUGGAUAACUUCCUAAUGACCCUGAAGAUCAUGUUCCCAAGAUGCUAUCCAAUGCUAGGGAGGGAGCUCCUCCCAGCAUGCGAGGGCUCGGAAAGGGCACCUGGGGCGAACUUGCCGAUUGGGUAUCGGGCGGCAUCGCUGGAACGGUGCCCUUGGAGUGCAUCACCAUGAGCCACUCAUUAAUGUCAAGUUCCGACCUGCGGGAGGCGAGAGCAGUUGCGGCUAGCGUGGAGGCGGACGGCGGCAUGGCCACGGAGGCCACCAACACAGGCAUGGGGAGGAGCGAUGGAAGCAUCGGGAACAGCGGCACCAUGAUGUCAGCAGGCCCAGCCCCUGUAUGCGAACGGAGGGAUGGGGAGAGGGCGACGAGGGCGACGAGGGGAGGCCCGACCUGGCUUCAGAGGUUCGAGAGGACGUCGGGGAAAGGAGAUCAUGCACCAACCAUGGUGCUGUCAUGUUGCAGCUACUGAACAUACAACCUACCUAUGUGUUUUUUUUUCCAAGGGAAGUUAGCUAUAUGGUGUUGGAUCAGGUUCAGAUCCCUCUGGUCUUAAAAGUUGCUCUGUUCCUAAAUGUUGUGAAUGUAUGAACUACGAAGCAGCCAUUUUCUUGUUCAAA